UGUGUAUCUGUCAUGUUUAUAUAUUCGUGUUCAUCGUAUUCGCAAACAGGGUUCUAUCCCCUCUAUCGCAGUUACUAUAAGGUGGGGGACCUAUUACGUCUUAACGGUUAUAGUUUUUGUCCUGAAGCCUUAGAAAGUGAUCGUUUACAAAGGAGCAUAGAAUUCACGUAUCUUGAAACACUUGUGAAACAUCUUAAGAUUCAUUGUUUUUUGAUGGAAAAGAAAAAACAUAUAAAAGUGAAAUAAAUAUUCGUCAUCACGUUAUAUCUCAUAUAUUUUUUGUAUUCGAAUUAUCAGAUAAUAUAAUACGUAGAUUACUUUCAAUUAUAUCACGUGUUUUGCCUAACUUUAUAAUCAUGUUCCCCGAUUGUGAAAUGUGACAUAGUAUGAAAUCUCAAUCGAUUAUUCAAAUAUUCGAUUCACUCGUGCAUACUCGAACAUUCGGAACUAUCAUAAACAAAUUAUUAAACACAUGAACAAGAAGAUGAACAAGAAGAAAGUGAAAAAAGAUUCAAUGAAGAAGAAAUCGGAUGAAACUUGUCAACAGAUGAAAUCUAUUUCUUCUAGUUGUGCCAUUGAAAAUGAUAAUUCAACUGAUUUUGAAGCACACGAACUUUGGAUUAAUGAAACGAAAGAAUCUGUUGAAACGAAUACGAAAUCUCAAUUAAGAAGAAUUAUAAAACGUAGAAAUAAAAUAUAUCACAGAGUGCAAAAAAAAAUGAAUAUGAUAAAAAAUAUAUUACAUACUGAUUUGGAAGGAAAGACAGAUUCAGAAAAAACUGUCAAUCACGAAGAUCUUUGUAUAUUAACAAUUGAUUUAUUAAAUGAACUUUUGUUGUUAGCCAAAAAAAUUAGUCCGGAUUUAUUAUUUUUUAUAAUCAAAUACAUUAUGAAAAUGAAGAAUAUAACGAAAGAAGAUUGCAACAUAUCCAUGGGUAGUGAUUUCAUUCCCCUAUCUCCCACAAAGGGAUUACAGGAAGGACACUUGACAGGGAUGGAGCAGCCAAACAUUUGCAAACAAAUUUUGAAGAGACCUGCUGAAUCGGAAUUUGAAGGUGCAUCUAGUCCAAAGAAGCGUCACAAGAAUCCACAGCCCAAGAAUGCAGUAUGUGCUCUAAAUGAAUUAAAAAGUGGUGCAGUGUAUAAGGUUGUUGACCAAACUGGCCCCACACAUGCUCCAAUAUUUACAAUAGCAGUACAAAUUGAUGGUCAAACUUAUGAAGGCAAAGGACGUACUAAGAAAAUGGCAAAACAUGCUGCUGCUGAACUUGCGCUAAGAAAUAUUGUUCAGUUUAGAAAUACACCAGAAGUUCAUCAAGCUAUUAACACUUGUCAACCUUCUAUUCCCCUUGAACCAGAUUUUACGAGUGAUGUUACAGAACGCGAUAAUCAUCUAGUCAAUGCUUUUAAAACUUUAAGUCAAGAACCAAAGAACACAAAUAAAUUUUUAGAAAAAGGUCCUGUAGCGCUUAUUAAUGAAUUAUAUCCUGGUGUAGUAUAUAAAUGUGUUUCUGACAAUGGUGAAAGCUAUGCAAAAUUUACAAUAUCGGUGACAAUUGAUGGAGAAACAUUCGAGGGAACUGGACCAAGUAAAAAAUUAGCAAAAGCUGCGGCUAGUAAAGCAGCAUUAGCUAAAUUAAGGAACGUUCACAGUUCCUCGUUCUGUAUACCGCUUCCGGUUCGCGUUUUGCCAAACUUUCCCAGUAGUGGCCACUGGCAAGAUCAAAUGUCUUUACCUCAAAUGUUAGCUGAUAAAAUUGGGAAAAUGGUGAAUCAAAAAUUUAGCGAAUUAAUUCAAUCAAAACCGCAACAUGCUCGUCGUAAAGUUUUAGCUGGAAUUGUUCAAACUAAAGGUUCAGAUGCGGAAUUAAUAUGUGUAACAACUGGUACAAAAUGUGUCUCUGGAGAACAUCUGAGUGUCAGCGGUGGUGCAUUGAAUGAUUGUCAUGCCGAAGUGGUAGCGAGAAGAUGUUUAUGCGAAUAUUUGUAUAAACAAUUGGAACUUCAUACGGAGGACCGAACUGCGGAAUCUAUUUUAGAACCAGCAAAGAAAGGAUUUAAACUAAAACAAGGCAUUCAGUUUCAUUUGUACAUAAAUACCGCACCAUGUGGUGAUGCAAGAAUCUUUUCACCUCACGAAGAGAAUGAAUCCGUCGAUAAACAUCCAAAUCGAAGAGCAAGAGGUCAAUUGCGAACUAAAAUAGAAUCCGGAGAAGGUACCAUUCCCGUAAAAAGCAGCGAGGGUAUCCAGACAUGGGACGGUGUGCUUAUGGGCCAAAGACUGCUGACGAUGUCGUGUUCGGACAAAAUAGCUCGGUGGAAUGUACUUGGUGUGCAAGGUGCACUCUUGAGCUACUUCAUCGAGCCAAUUUACUUCCACAGCAUCGUUCUUGGCAGUCUAUUGAACCCAAGCCAUAUGUAUAGGGCGGUCUGCGGACGUAUUGAAAAUACGAUCCAAGGAUUACCGCCUCCAUACAGACUCAAUAAACCACUUAUGAGUCUUAUUACUUCGUCAGAGGUGAGACAACCUGGAAAAGCACCUAAUUACAGCGUUAAUUGGACAAUCGGUCAAUCAGAAGCUGAAGUAAUAAAUUGUACUACUGGAAAAGACGAAUUAGGAAAACCUUCUAGAAUAUCAAAACAAGGGCUGUUCAGAAGAUUUUACAACUUAUUAGGUAAACUUAAUACUAUUGAAGAUGCUGAUAAAAAUCAGUGUCGUCAUUAUUUAGAUGCAAAAUCUUCCGUACAGAAUUACUCGCUUGCCAAGCAUCAGUUGAAGGAAGCUUUCGUAAAGGCACAUCUAGGCAGUUGGGUUAAGAAACCAAUCGAACAAGAUAUGUUUGAAGUUGAUAUCUGACUAAAUCAGGGAUACAACACGCAACGAGCAACGUUCAGCCUAGAAAACGGAAAACAACGUUGGUGAACGAGAGAAGAGUCAAAGUUGGUUGUAAUUCACACGCGAGAGAAACGAGGAUAAUAAGUAUUUACAAUAUAACUAUAAUCUAGAUAUUCUCGUGACGAUUUGGCCGAGAAUAAUAGAUUAACGCGUUAACAAUGAUCAGAUUCGUAACGAAACGAGAGAAGCCGAGUAAUAGAUUUGCACGUCAAGAUACACGAUAAUGAUUACAUCGAGCUGCUUGCAUUCGAGGACGACACGGUAAGAUUCGAGUUUUACCCUCCAUUUCCCCCAAGAAUUUUAUCUCAAGUAUUCAUAUUCGUAUUCAUUUUUCUAUUCUUUUUCUAUUCUAUAUCUCACGCUGAAAAUAGAAGAUCGUGCGCAUCGAUAAGAAACUGGCAGCCUUUCUUCCUCGAUCGAUCUGAAUAUUUCUCUCGUUUUCAGAAAAUAUAAGCUCGAAUGAUACCGUGGAAUGCGAGUCUUCUUUGCAUAAGGAUAACGAGUUUUCGUUGAAGCGACCCCGCAGAUCGUGUCGUGCCUUACUACACGUUGUCAGCACUUCGAAGCUGGUCCUUCGUUCGUUGGUUCUCCGGUGAACGAGCCGAUUACCGACCAACGUUCCACGAGCAUCCUGAUCACCUCAAGUGGGAUCGAACAUCCCGGACUGUUACCACUCGUAGUCGUCCUGAUGGAAAGGGUUGGUGCAUGGUUGUUGAGCGUGUAGAUGGGUCACUAUCGGCGGUGGUUUAAACAGGUCCAAUUCUCUGAUCACCUCAUUGUAAAGCUGCGGGG